CCUCCAUGUAUUUUAUUUAAUUUUUUUGGCCAGGCACCCUGCCUGCCCCGUUCCUUGGGAAAGAGACAUGGGAAACAGCCAGAAACAGCCAGCCCAGACCUAUUCUUUUGCUGACAUUUCUUCUUUCUCUUGCAGAUAAGCUAUCUCCCCCAUCUCCCAGCCUGGGAGCAGCAAACAUUCCUGCUUUGUGGAACAAAACCUCUGGCUGACCUAUAUCUAUUAAAUAACAAAAGGAAGUCUGCUCUUCAUCUGUGCUACUCUCCUCUUCCUUGGAAGUCAUCUCCAUCCCCCUUCUGGCCUGUCCCUCUCACCUUUGCAUCCCACCCUCCCAGUCUGUUGUCCCUGAAAUCCUGCAUCUUGUCUUGGGCCAGUUUAAGGGAUGCUGGAAAGGAUCUGUGGAGAUUUGCUGAGAUGAUCAUGGCUGAGAGGGCAUGAGGCAAAGAUCCGGGCCAGGCAGUGACUGGGGUCUCCAGAGCCUGGAUCAAGGAUGACCCCAGAAUGGAGAGGUCUGUGAUGGAGCACCAGCAGCCCUCCUCUUCCUCACAUGAAACCACAAGCCAGGUUCAUCUCCUGCAGGCAUCUGCACAAAAAGCUCUGGCUGGACAGCGGGCGGGACAAUUCUGCAACCCUUAUUUGGACUCAGCUUUGGGGAAGAGCUGCAGCUCCCCAGCAGGGCUGGAACCCAGGAAUUUCUGCUGCAUCCAUGUCCAUCUGAGCUGGGACACGACGCUGGACUGUGUCACACAGGGAUAGAAGGGGAAGUUGUGAACAGCUAGGGACUCUGGUAGGAUGGCUGGGAAGUGUGGGGAGUCCCGAGGCUCCAGUGGAACGAGUGGACAAGGUUCAGCUCUGCCCUGGGCCCUCCGGGAGGGAACCCGAGCAGAAGCAGCCUCCGGGGGAUUGGGCGGAGGGGGACACCGGGUCCGUGGAGCCUUUCCCACCCCAGGGCCUGCGUGGAUUCGGGAUGCGGGCCGGG